UUACCGCGACCGGUUCCGAGGCGAGCGUCUCCCUCCCCGUCCCGGUCUCCCACUACGCGCCCGCCCCCCGUCGCCACACUCGCUAGUGGCCCAGCUCCUCACUUCCCCACCGAGCUCCAUUAAUGGCGCCGCCUCUAAUCUCGCUAUAAUACUACUAGCGGGUAUCAGCAGCGCGGGCGUGGAAGACCACGUGGGAGCUGGGGGGGCCGACGCUUCCCCACAUGGGGUACCAGCCCAUGCACGGCGGCGCCGCCGGGACCUCGGGCGGCGGCGGCGGCGCGGACAACCUGCACAGCCACCACCACAACCACCACCAGCGCCUGCACAGCCCCCGCGUGGCCGGCGGGGGCUCCUGGAUGACGCGCCGGGCCAACUAGUUCAAGCGCGGCGAGAUCGAGCUCCAGGUCGGCUCCCCGCGCUCCCCGAGGUGCGACGGGCUGGGGAGCCCGCCCGGCGACGCCGCCCGCGGAGCCGUCCGCCGCCGGCCUCCACCACCACCAGCAGAACAGCAACCUCCGGUUCCGGCUCUUCAAGCGCCCGGGCUCCGGCGCCGGCGCGAUCGACGCCGGCCUCGGGCUGGGGAUCCGGGAGAGGAGGAAGCUCGGGAACGUGCUGUUCCUCGCCUUCUGCAGCGUCUGCUUGCUCCUUGGCCUCGGCAAGAUCUGGGCGGGCGGGUGGUUCGCGCUCCCUGCCGACGACAAGCACGCGGAUUUCCAGGAUCUCUCUGUCUCCUUCUCCAGUGACAAAGGGCAUCAAGUUGAUCAUCACUCAGGAUACAUGGGUGCAAAAGAAAGUGACAGAACUUUGAUGACAGUUGAAUCUAACAUUGGUGGAAGAGGAGACAGCAUCGCUGAGAUAUGCGAUAUGGUUGCUGUUGCUAAGAUCCUGAAGGCCACACUGGUUUUACCUUCGCUUGAUCAUACAUCCUACUGGGCAGAUGAUAGUCAAUUUAAGGGCCUUUUCAACUGGAGGUAUUUCAUUGAGUCACUGAAAGAAGACGUUGAUAUUGUUGAAACGCUGCCCCCUGAAUACAGCAACAUUGAACCUUUGGCUAAAGCUCCGAUAUCUUGGUCGAAGGUGAAUUAUUACAGAGAUGAAAUACUCCCUCUUUUGAAGAAACACAAAGUCAUUUACUUUACACAUACAGAUUCUCGCCUGGCUAACAAUGGCCUUCCUAGUUAUAUUCAGAAAUUAAGAUGCCGACUUAACUACGUAUCUUUGAAGUAUUCUCAUACAAUUGAAGAUCUCGGUACUACCUUGGUUUCGAGGAUGCGUCAAGAUGGAAGCCCAUAUCUUGCUCUCCAUCUAAGGUAUGAGAAAGACAUGCUAGCUUUUACUGGUUGCAGCCAUAGCUUGACACCAUUAGAAGAUGAGGAAUUGCGUAAGAUGCGUUAUGAGGUAAGUCACUGGAAAGAGAAAGAAAUCAAUGCUACUGAGCGAAGAAGCCUUUGGUGGCUGUCCUUUGACCCCAAGGGAAACUUCACUUUUACUCAAAGGAUUGGGUUUCUCACAAAGCACUAGAAUUUACUUGGUUGCUGGUGAAGCUUUUGGCAAUGGAAGCAUGAAGGCUCUGGUGGAUGAUUUUCCCAAUAUUUAUUCUCAUUCUACACUGGCGACAGAAAAGGAACUUGCACCCUUCAAAAACCAUCAGAAUAUGCUUGCUGGUCUUGACUACAUUGUGGCUCUCCAGAGUGAUGCCUUUAUUUACACUUAUGAUGGAAAUAUGGCAAAAGCUGUACAGGGCCAUCGACGUUUUGAGAACUUCAGAAAGACUAUUAACCCAGACAGGAUGAGUUUUGUGAACCUGGUAGAUGAGUUUGAUGAAGGAAGAGUGCCCUGGGAUAUUGUCAGCUCAGAAGUGAAAAGAUUACACAAAGAUAGAAUAGGUGCUCCAUAUUUUAGGGAGCCUGGAGAAUUCCCAAAGCUAGAAGAGUCUUUCUUUGCAAACCCCUUGCCUGGCUGUAUAUGUGAGAAACAUAGUGAAGAAUGAAAAUGUCUCUGCGCCAGCUAUUCUUUCCGGGCAUCUCUUAAGCCAGAAGAUAUCGGCCUCUGCCCCCUGCCGGAUAGUAUGUGCACCGUUGUUUUUCAUGAUCUGCGAAUCCAUUCUAAAUGACAGUUGAGAUAUAGUGGCACUGGGAUGUCUUUUUCAGCUUCAGCCCUUACUGGACUUCAAAGCAUCAAGGACAGUGAUGUUUUGCAAAUCGCAGAUCUGUCAAUCAUUUUCACACGACCAAGUAUGCCUAUCACAUUUGCUUACACCGGUACAUAAAUGGUACAUAUAGCUGAGAUUAUCCUGGUGUCUCUCUUGUAAUUUUACACUUCUGCUUUAUUUGAUUAUUUGGGGGAACUGGGUAGCUAGAUUUGCAAAUACAAUGCUAUAUACAGCUCCAAUGGAGUCAUUCAGAAAUGUAGCUACACUUUGAUUGUGUCUACAGUCAUACUUUCUAUGCUCAGGAAAGCAAUUUGACUUACCGUGCAAA